rnacentral:tRNA from 1 species
GCGCCAGUAGCUCAGAUGGAUAGAGCAACGGCCUUCUAAGCCGUAGGUCGGGGGUUCGAAUCCUCCCUGGCGUACCA